rnacentral:rRNA from 1 species
GCAGUACGGCGAGUGACAGGCAGAGCUCAGAUUUGAAAGGCACUUUUGUGCCGUUGUAUUCUGAAGUUAGGGUCCUGAGAAACGAUGCUUAAGUCUUCUGGAAAGGAGCGCCAUGGAGGGUGAUAGCCCCGUCUAGCAUUGACCUCAUAUAGGAUCUUAACAUGGAGUCGAGUUGUUUGGGAAUGCAGCUCAAAUGGGUGGUAUGCUCCAUCUAAAGCUAAAUAUCUGCGAGAGACCGAUAGUAAACAAGUACUGUGAGGGAAAGAUGAAAAGAACUUUGAAAAGAGAGUGAAAAAGUACGUGAAAUUGUUGAAAUGGAAGGGUAGGCCGCUAACCAUGUAGAGCCGUGUUUGGGGGGAAGAUAAAUGCUGUAGAAUGUAGCUCCUCGGAGUAUUAUAGAUGCAGUUCAUAUUCCCACCCGAGCGCGAGGAUCUCAGGUUCUACUAAAUGGUGGUCUACCACCCGUCUUGAACCACGGACCAAAA